rnacentral:tRNA from 1 species
GCGCCCGUAGCUCAGGUGGAUAGAGCAUGGGAUUUCUAAUCCCAGGGUCGCUGGUUCGAGUCCAGCCGGGCGCA